UACGGAGGGUGCGAGCGUUAAUCGGAAUUACUGGGCGUAAAGCGUACGCAGGCGGUUUGUUAAGCGAGAUGUGAAAGCCCCGGGCUCAACCUGGGAACUGCAUUUCGAACUGGCAAACUAGAGUAUUGUAGAGGGUAGUGGAAUUUCCAGUGUAGCGGUGAAAUGCGUAGAGAUCUGAAGGAAUACCGAUGGCGAAGGCA
rnacentral:rRNA from 1 species